GUGCUCACUUCGGCAGCACAUAUACUAAAAUUGGAACGAUACAGAGAAGAUUAGCAUGGCCCCUGUGCAAGGAUGACAUGGAAAUUCAUGAAGCAUUCUAUAUUUUU
ensembl:snRNA U6 U6 spliceosomal RNA